GAUGAACGCUGGCGGCGUGCUUAACACAUGCAAGUCGAACGGAAAGGCCUUGUGCUUGCACGAGGUACUCGAGUGGCGAACGGGUGAGUAACGCGUAGGUAACCUGCCUACUAGCGGGGGAUAACUAUUGGAAACGAUAGCUAAUACCGCAUAACAGCAUUUAACCCAUGUUAGAUGCUUGAAAGGAGCAAUUGCUUCACUAGUAGAUGGACCUGCGUUGUAUUAGCUAGUUGGUGAGGUAACGGCUCACCAAGGCGACGAUACAUAGCCGACCUGAGAGGGUGAUCGGCCACACUGGGACUGAGACACGGCCCAG
rnacentral:rRNA from 1 species